rnacentral:rRNA from 1 species
GACGAACGCUGGCGGCGUGCUUAACACAUGCAAGUCGAACGGAAAGGCCCGGCUUUUGUGGGGUGCUCGAGGGGCGAACGGGUGAGUAACACGUGAGUAACCUGCCCUUGACUUUGGGAUAACUUCAGGAAACUGGGGCUAAUACCGGAUAGGAGCUCCUGCUGCAGGGUGGGGGUUGGAAAGUUUCGGCGGUUGGGGAUGGACUCGCGGCUUAUCAGCUUGUUGGUGGGGUAGUGGCUUACCAAGGCUUUGACGGGUAGCCGGCCUGAGAGGGUGACCGGCCAAAUUGGGCCUGAGCUACGGCCCAGACUACUACGGGAGGCAGCAGUGGGGAAUAUUGCACAAUGGGCGGAAGCCUGAUGCAGCAACGCCGCGUGCGGGAUGAGGGCCAUCGGGUUGUAAACCGAUUUCGCCUGUGACGAAGCGUGAGUGACGGUAAUGGGUAAAGAAGCACCGGCUAACUACGUG